UACGAAGGGGGCUAGCGUUGUUCGGAAUUACUGGGCGUAAAGCGUGCGCAGGCGGCUAUCCAAGUCAGUGGUGAAAGCCCGGAGCUCAACUCCGGAAUUGCCAUUGAAACUGUUUAGCUCGAGUACGAGAGAGGUGAGUGGAAUUCCCAGUGUAGAGGUGAAAUUCGUAGAUAUUGGGAAGAACACCGGUGGCGAAGGCGGCUCACUGGCUCGUAACUGACGCUCAUGCACGAAAGCGUGGGGAGCAAACAGG
rnacentral:rRNA from 1 species